rnacentral:rRNA from 1 species
CACGUAGGGCGCGAGCGUUGUCCGGAAUUAUUGGGCGUAAAGAGCUCGUAGGCGGCCUGUUGCGUCCGCUGUGAAAGCCCGGGGCUUAACCCCGGGUCGCAGUGGAUACGGGCAGGCUAGAGGUAGGUAGGGGAGAAUGGAAUUCCCGGUGUAGCGGUGAAAUGCGUAGAGAUCGGGAGGAACACCCGUGGCGAAGGCGGCUCACUGGGCUGACCUUGACGCUGAGGCGCGAAGGCGUGGGGGGAGCGAACGGGG